rnacentral:rRNA from 1 species
UCCGGUGGCUAUAGCGGAGGGGUAACACCUCUUUCCAUUCCGAACAGAGAAGUUAAGCCCUCCAGCGCCGAUGGUACUGCUUGGGAAACCUUGCGGGAGAGUAGGACGCUGCCGGAU